GGAAUAACAAUGGUGAUGUUAUGGCCGCGGCUGCUCUUGACUCUAUAAGUGCAGCUUCUGCAUUAAUGCCUGAAGCACUAGCGUUCCGAUGGUGCGUAUCUUUGGCUAAGGACCUUGGAUUCUUCCGGGUGGUGUUCGAAACAGAUUGUCUCCAAUUAUUUGAGGCUUGGAAGAAGAAUAGGCCAGGAGGAAACAGUGUGGCUGAUUUCUUGGCUAAGAACUCCUCAAAAUUUUCCAACGUUGUUUGGAUUGAGGAGGUUCCCCCGGAAUUGGACCUUUUGGUGACUUCGGAUGUAUUAGCUUCUAUGGCGUUUUGAUUUAAUAUAUUAUCCAUUUUCAAAAAAAAAACAAAGUUUUUGGUA